AUACGUAGGUGGCAAGCGUUGUCCGGAAUUACUGGGUGUAAAGGGUGCGUAGGCGGCUAUGCAAGUCAGGCGUGAAAUAUAUGGGCUUAACCCGUAGACUGCGUUUGAAACUGUGUAGCUUGAGUGAGGUAGAGGCAGGCGGAAUUCCCGGUGUAGCGGUGAAAUGCGUAGAGAUCGGGAGGAACACCAGUGGCGAAGGCGGCCUGCUGGGCCUUAACUGACGCUGAAGCACGAAAGCAUGGGUAGCAAACAGGAUUAGAUACCCUGGUAGUCCAUGCCGUAAACGAUGAUUACUAGGUGUGGGGGGUCUGACCCCUUCCGUGCCGGAGUUAACACAAUAAGUAAUCCACCUGGGGAGUACGGCCGCAAGGUUGA
rnacentral:rRNA from 1 species